GACCAGGGAAGGGAGAUCUGCUGUCUGCUCAGUGUAUAAAUGAAAGCAACAUGUGAUCUUAUUUAUCAAUGCUUUCGCAGCGGUUUGGACAGAUGGCGGACGCGGGAUCCUGGGUCAAUUUUCAUAUGGAUCUUGUGAGGAAGGGGAUUCAUAGGGCACAAUAAUUUUAGGUUUAUUAUUAAUUAUUCUGGCCGCUUGUACAGGGUUUUGAUAAAUUCCGACUCAGAAUUGGUUUCUGGUGUAUGCUACAAAAAUCGUCCAUUACUACAUUAUAAAAUGUGUCAAUGAAGUUACCCUUAUGUUGUAUGGGAUAAUAGUUGGCUAGCGGUUUAAGCCCUGGUUCUGCCCUUUGACCCUGAUUGUAUAUGGUUGUAUAUAUAUAUAUAUAUACUGUAUAUUCAGCGUGUAUGGCAAGUUUCUUAUGCAACACUAUUCACCUGAAGAAGGGGAAGUGGUCCCUGAAAAGCGUA